AUGGAGUGUUACAGUCAUUGAUAUUGUAUCUAUGUAUAGACACCACCACAGUCGGACAAUAAUAACAAAUAAAAAUUGCAUUAUGGGAGAGUAAAAUACUUCUAAUCUAUGGCAUCAUACAUUUACCAAUUGUGUUUUAAGUCAUUGAAUAAAUUAAAAUGUUUAAUUUUCAGAUUAUACUUACAAAUGAAUGCCCAAGAGUACGCCCAGCAAGACUUUAAGUUGAUGACAACAUUCCCAAAGAAGAUCUUCACUUCUGAGGAUUAUGAAAAACCUCUUGAAUCGUUGGGUUUGGUUCCAUCAGCAGUAAUUAUUGUGUCGAAGGGCCAAUAGCCUUAAUUUUAAGUUAAUUAUACCCGUGACGGGCUGGGAUUUUAUUAUUCGUGUUGGCAUAUGGCACAAAGUUAAAAUUAAUGUAAUAUUUGAAGACUCAUUAAAAAUAAAAUUUGCGUAUGGUAA